CACGGAGUUAGCCGGGGCUUCUUCUCUCGGUACCGUCAACCCUCGGGAUUGUUCACCCCAAGGGAAUUCGUCUCGAUCGAAAGGAGUUUACGACCCGAAGAUCUUCAUCCUCCACGCGGCGUUGCGUCGUCAGGCUUGCGCCCAUUGCGAACAAUUCCCCA
rnacentral:rRNA from 1 species